CCUACGGGGGGCAGCAGUGAGGAAUAUUGGUCAAUGGACGAGAGUCUGAACCAGCCAAGUAGCGUGAAGGAUGACUGCCCUAUGGGUUGUAAACUUCUUUUAUAAAGGAAUAAAACGAGGCACGUGUGCCUUUUUGCAUGUACUUUAUGAAUAAGGAUCGGCUAACUCCGGGCCAGCAGCCGCGGUAAUACGGAGGAUCCGAGCGUUAUCCGGAUUUAUUGGGUUUAAAGGGAGCGUAGAUGGGUUGUUAAGUCAGUUGUGAAAGUUUGCGGCUCAACCGUAAAAUUGCAAUUGAUACUGGCAGUCUUGAGUACAGUUGAGGUAGGCGGAAUUCGUGGUGUAGCGGUGAAAGGCUUAGAUAUAACGAAGAACCCCGAUUGCGAAGGCAGCUUACUAAACUGUGACUGACAUUGAUGCUCGAAAGUGUGGGUAUCAAACAGGAUUAGAUACCCCUGUAGUC
rnacentral:rRNA from 1 species